UCUCUUCUUGGACUUGAGACUCCUCGGACAGCUCAGUUCCGAUUGAAUACUCACCAUCUUCAAUUACCAGCGCCUUCUUCUUCGAUUUCGACCCUGCAGGUUGCGGGUUCUCUUCGUCGCGAGUAGUCGGCUUCUUCCGACCCAUCGAGGUUUCGACUAAUUAUACAAUCUUUUGGAACAAUUGAAACGAAGCCCCUCCAAAAUCCUAAAUUUCAAAAUCAAUAAACACAAUCAAGAAAAAAAGAUACAGAAAUGUAUUUGUUUAUGUAUGUUUCAGAAGCUAAAGAAUUAGAUCUAAAUUUAUAAAAUCAGAAAGCAGUAACCGCAAGAAUCAUUUCAGAAAAGUGGGAAAGAAUCUGAUCAUAUUUAUAAGAAAAAACACACACAUAUAUCAUACACAUAUAUAUGUAUAUUAUAUAUUGGAGAAAGAGAGCUCACUUGAGGCGGUGAGGAGAAAGCACAAGCAAUAGAACCUAAGGGUUGCAGAAGAAAAUGACUGUUUGAAUGGAUUGGAAUUACAGGGAAGAAGACUGAGCGAGCUUCAGAGAGAGAGAGAGAGAGAGAGCAACAAUAACAAAUGUUUUCUCUUUUAAAGUUUCUAGGGUUGGGUUGGGUUGGGUAGGCUUGGAUUUCUUGGAGAGGAAAGGCGGUUCUGGGCUUUCGUAUAAUUUUCCAGGACCUUGGGCCUUUGUCCAAAAAUAUUUUUAAGAAAAUAAUGGUUUUGGCAGACAAUUUUUACUUUACCACUCGGAAUUUUUUACCUUCAUACACAAACUUUACACUCUUGUCGUAAAGAGAACCGAAGUCGUGGCAUACCACAAAUUAUUUAAAAAUAAUAAAAUGAAUUUAUUAACAUGUAUUGUAUAAAAAAUAUAUAAAAAAUUUGUCAGAGUAUAAAUAUUUUUAUGUUAUUGUAUAAUAGGCUUUAGAAAUAACGGAAGCUUUAUUUAUAUUAGCCCCUUUUUUUUCUUUUUUUUUAAUCGACAAGUUUGCUGCAUUCCAAUACCGCUUCUUUUUUUCUCCUUUUUUUUUUUUUUUUUUCACAACUAAAAGCAUUCCAAGGCAGCUUUAGUAAUUAUAUAUGCAGGGGAAAGCUGGAUAAUAUUUUCGGCUGUAACAGCAAACAAAACAUUUUCAGGUGUCAAAAAUUUUGCAACAAAACUGUUAGCUCCGUCAAAUACCAAAUCAAUCACCGGUAUAUAUCAACAAUUGGUUAGCAAUAGCCUUCCACGCAUUCAUUAACGACUAACAGUCAUACACGCGCAUGUAGAGAUUCCCUCAACCGCCACUAGCAAAAUCCUCAAGUCCAAAGUGGAAUACUAAUCGUCAUUCUAUUGGAACUUGGACUCAAUACUAAUAGUCUAACAGGCUGCAUAGGCCACCCAUAAUACACAUGAUGUAAAUCGAUGGUAAAGUUAAUAGUAGUAUAACAAUAAUUUAAUGGAGUUAAUCGUUUUCUGAAUCUCUAAACUUAGACCCGAUUUGCAUUUGAGUCUCUGAACUUACGGCAGCCCAAACUCAUUUGUUAGGAUGCUGGAAUAAAAAGACUCCUACAGCCAUCACCUUCAUUACUGUGUCCUCCUAGUACCUAAUUAGUUGCAACGAAUAUUUUUUUUAUUUUUUUUUAUUUUGUUGUUUAAUUUGGGAAUUUAGCUAUGUUUGAUUGUUGAAAAAAGGAAGAAAGAUUGGGGGGUGGGUUGCAAGGAUGGAGGUAUGGGGAGGGUUAUGGUGGGUUUAUUUUUUUAAUUUGUUUUUAUGUUUGUUUUUAUUAUUAUUGGGCAUUUUAGUUUUUAUUUUUAAUUUUUUAUAAUUUUUAUAGAUUUUAUUAAUUUAUUAAUAUUCUAGUGAAAAUUGACAAUUUUAACCCUUAAAUUAAUGGCAAUAUUGAAGUAGUAUAACAAUAGGACAAAUGCACCGAAUAAUAAAGAGUUGAUGAACCAUUUGAACGCAUAAUUUAGUUGAGAAAUUAAAAUACAACUCAGGUAUAAGUUUGAGAACCUUCGAGUUAAAAAAACUCUUUUCUUUUUAUUCUAAUUCAAUACCUCUCAACAUCUUAACCAUGUCGCUGAAAACAAAAACGACGAACAUCAUAGCACAAGUUCAAAAAUAAUAUGCACCGUAAAACAGUAACGAUUAAUGGAUGCGAGACCCUAAAACUGCCACUCAGCUACUUGAGUGCUCCGAAUAACAUCGGCGCAACCUACACGCCAUAAGGCAAUGAUCAACACGAGUCUGAACAAAAUUAAUACAACAUAAUGAAUUAAAAUGAAAACUUACACAUUUGUCAACACAAGAUAUGUAAUCAAAGUAUUGGCCUGUACAAUGCUUCUCGCCAUUGUUAUCAGCUUCAACCCUCUUAACACAUGCCUACAAUAAAUAAAAAAGUUGAACAAUCCCAGUACAAAUACGAAAUUACAUUCAUUCAAACCAAAUGUGAACAAUCUCAAGUAUACAUAUAAAUACCAAAACAAAGACCUCUAACAAUCAUAUUAUUCCAUUUCUUUUUUCUUUUUAAAAAAAUUAAAAACAAAAAGAAAAAAAGAUUAAAAUUUUAAUUUUAUUACUCAACAAUUAUGGCAGGAGGGAACAGGGGUGCAAGAAAGUAGAAAUAAAGACAAUAUGAAAGCCAUAUGUAUCCACAACUUUUUAAGGUUGAACUAUAACUGAUGCUCAGCAGAAGUAGCUGCCUAAUCAUCUACUCUUUUGUAAGUAAAAAGAUUCAAUCAGUUUAUUAAAUCUAGCCCAAAAGUUCAAGUAGGGGAAAUUCGAUUGAGACCCAACAGUUUGCGAUGUUAGGAGUCAUUCUGCUGGUUUUAAACUGCUGCAUUUAAUAGAUAACUAUAGUAUUGGUAGUGGCAUUAUAUUCAUAGAGCUACAUACAACAGAAUAAGUACCUACAAUAUAAGAUUUGUUUUCCAUAGCAAGUCCAAAUUUCAACAGAUUCAAGUGCAAAAGAUUUUGAUUGAGACUUCAUAGUCUAUGCAACACUUCCUCCAAAAUAAACAAAAAUAAAAAAUUCCAGUAAGUAUAUGUUCUAUAAUUUUUCCCUGUUCUUAGCCUAUAAUAUCAAAAACCUACAAACAAUGGUCAAGUGGGAAAUCUUGGAGUAAAAAAAGAAAGUACAGGUAGAGGUAGAGCCGAAUCUUGAUGUUGUCUAGGCAAGCGUCCAAUACUAAGAGUAGUAGUUAUGAACCUUGUAAGCCAACCCAACAAUCCCAUUAAAAUAUGUCAAAAGAGCUUGCUUAAUCACUUUAGUAUGACAUCCUGAAUCCUGAUAUUCUGAUACUCUUAUUUUGGCUAUAACCUUUGUACAAUUACUCUCUAUAACGUUCUGCACGGCAUACCCAACUAAAUAACUUGAUAUUACUAAAUUUCACAUUUGAUGAUAUAUAUGAUUUCCAAAUUACUUCCUCUUAUGGAAAAACAUAAAGAACGCAUUCUAACUUGUUGGACCAUGCAAAUAUAUGGUUCCAACUUCCAAGAUUUCAUAGGAGAAGUAAUUUUGGGAGCUUUUCUAGGUUGUAAUUCCCUUUACCUCUAUAGUAGGGAGCAUGGAUAUGGAUAAAACACACAGGUACAACAAAGACCAAUAAGUUGAUACGACUAUCUCUCUAGUAAUUUGAUUUAAAAAAAAUAUCUGAUCCAAUUGUAAGUUCAUAUUAACAGCAUCUAAAAUUAACAUAGGAAAUAAAUUUCAUUACCUGAUAUUCAAUCAGAGGCUUCACACAUUUAGGCUGGCAAGACUCCUCAAGAUACUUCUUCUGAUCAACGAGUUCUUCAUCCGCCCUUAGUAGAUAAAAUGAAAAGAUCGAUGAGAGAAAGAGAAAAGCUUUAGGUUUCAAUCCAAAGAGAAAGAGAAAAUCAAUAGAAAAUUUGGUGUUUUGACCCCUUGAUACACAAUGUUCGUGUCCACAUUUCAAUUUCUCUAUGCCUAACAUUCAUGUGAAAAAGAAAAAUGGAAAACCCACAAAGAUUAAUAACCCAGAGAUACUCACAUAGAAAUGAAUCAAAAAGCUCUCCAAAUUCCUGCACCGAAAUAUAAAUAAAUAAAAUCGAUAAAAAAAAAUUGAAACUUUAGUUCGAUUUUUGGGGGUGAAAAAGAAGAAGAAAGGUACUUUCUGAUUCGAAGAGAAAGAUCAGCUCCUGAGUUGCAGAACAGAGAGAGAGAGAGAAAGAUCAGCUCCUGAGUUGCAGAACAGAGAGAGAGAGAGAGAGAGAGAGAGAGAGAGAGGGUGGAAAUGGGUAACUUGGCAGUUUGGAACAACUACGAUUAUGAUGGUGGACCGGACCUGAGAUUGUGGAGCUGUUGAAUGGGUCUCUCAAGACAGAUCAAGUAUAGACAAAAUCAUUUUCUUUUGGGCUUGGGUCCAGACAUACACGACGAUUUACCAAUCAUGCUCAAACACAACAUUUGUUAUUUUAUCAUUAUAUUUAUUUAUUUAUUUUUUUUUUUUAAAACUUCUAGACGUCACAAAAUGAUGAUGUUUAUUGUGGAACUGUGAGACUGUCCUUAAUAGUUUUAGCUCCUACAAAUUGUUUUAUUUAUUAAAGUUAAUGAAAUAAUAAGGCAUCGUUUGGUUUACGGAACGCAUUUGAGGGAAAAUUAUUUCUCAUGUCAUUUCCUAAAGAAUGAGAAAUUGAAGAUUCAUUUUCCACGUUUGAUAAUGUUGGGAAAAUAACCGGAAGAUAUAGUUUAUUUCCUUUCUUAUGUUUGUUUUGAGUAUGAAUGUAAAAUAAAGUUCGAACAAUUUUUCAAUUAUAGUCAUAUUAAAUCAAAUUAAAAAAAUGCAUUUAAUAAUAUAUUGUAAUUUUAAAUCUAUAUAUAUAAAGCAAAAGGUAGAGAAUGGUGAAACAUUUAAAAUACCAGAAAAUGCCCUUGGUUAAUGCAAACAUUAAGAAUUGAAAUUAUUAAUUAAAUGAGGAUAAUAUGGUAAAUUCAUAAUUUUUCGUAUUAAAAAAAUUAAAAUUAAAAGAAAAUUCAGAUAAUGGAUCCUAUUUUUAUGGAACACAAAUAUCCAUUAUCUUUUUUAAUUCUAAAAUAAAUUUAAAUUUUUUUUAAAAAAAACCUCUCGUAUGCGCGUGCAGAGAGGCUAGUUGUUAAUGAAGACAAAAUGGUCAUGAAAAAUAUGUAUUUAAUAUUGGCUCAUUUUCCAAAAUUUCCCAUGAGGAAGGAAAACAAAACCUAGGAGGAUUCACUUUCCCCACUAUAUUCUUGGUGGCCUAUUAAUUUCAAUAACUCGUCAAAUGUGAAGAAUUUCAUACAAGUAAAUAACACAAUACUCAAAAGGAAAAAGAAUUUCAUUACAACCACCAAAAAAUUACAAUUCUGUUGCAUUUGAUUCCCUUAAUCAAAACAUUGCCCCUCAUUUCUGCUUUGUUGUCUACUUUCCCGGGCCUUGAAGCAGCUUCAUAAUUCAAAGCUGAACUCUUCUCUGCCCUUACCAUGGCCACUAAGGAAGACCAAGCUUCCCCGAGUUGCUGCUCGUGGACCGAACACAUGAUGAAAUAAAUUUUCCUCUCAGCCAUCUUGAGCUUACUCCUCAUUUCAACUCUUCUCAACUUCCAUGAUUUCUCGGGUUUCACAUCCCUCUCCCCAGCCUGAACCAUCCUCUGCAGAUCACAAACCCUUCUUCUCGACUUUCAUGAUUUCUCGGAAUUCACUUCCCUCUCCCAGGCUUAUUACAUCAUCUACGAGACCAUGUCCAAAUUGCAAGUCACCCAUCCAUCUAAAAGUCGGAGAGCAGAUCUGCUCCAGGCAAUAAGACAGAGCUUCCAGGACAGCCUGGUUACCCACUUGACCCAUUUCAGAGGACACAUUGCACCACGAUGGCUUGACCCUAUGGCAUCUGAUUUCCAAUUUCCAUAGUAAAGACAGGAGUGUGAAACAGCCAAGGGCAGUGAUGGCUUUGUGGAGCUAAGAUUGCUCACUGGAGGCAGUGCGGAGUCAGGCCCAAGUGGUCCUUCCUUGCUUAAAGAUAUUGUUCUGGCAGAAGGCUUCAACCACCACCGCAUCAACCUCCCCUUAUCAGGCACCAUCAUCAAAGAGAACCUUAUAGAAUCGCUUUCUUUCUUCUGGGUCAAACAAUCCUCCUCUAUCUCCCUGAUCAUCAGGGUUAGACAUCUCAGAGCUCCUGUCCUUGCCUUCAUUUGGUCUACCCAAAACCAUGCCUUUCUUUUUCUUCUUUUCUAGAUUUACCAAAUGGCGCCUGCGGUUAUAUUCAUGAAGCCCCUCCUGCAUAAGUUCUCCAAAUUUCUCCUUCACAACAACAAGUGGAUCCUUAUCUACCAGUCCUUGCUCAUUAUAACCUUCUCUAAGAAGGACAGUAUAAAUCUGAUACUUAUUAGAGACAUAGAAUAUGCCAGGGUGCUUGAGCAGCAAAACGUUCAGUUUCUCUGGCAAAAAAAAUUCUCUCUGAAAAUGUCCCAGCUUUGCAAUUGAUGCUUUCUUCCAUAGAGUCAAUGACAACAACUCAUGCACCAAACCCACCGUCCUCUUCUCCAUCUCCUUUGAUCCCUCCACUAAGCCUUUGGAGUCCAAGUAGGGUGAAAUAUAAGGUGUCGCAUUAAAUUCAUGAAACCUUUCCCACGACUUGACCCAAGUUGAAGGCAAUGAGCAUGUGAAACAUGGCUCAGUUCCUUGCUUGUGAGCUGAAGCUUCAAUAGCAGAAACCGCUAAAUCUGGAUUCCAAGACACCAGCUCAAUCUCCAUGGAACUCCGCCGCCCACUAUAAUUAACAAUCUGAAACAUAUCAGAAUACUUUGGCACAAGUCUAAUCAAAUAGUCAUCUGGAAAACCUAAGUUCCGCUUUAGUUCAUUAAGCUUGACAACAUUUAGUCUUUUAUUGGAGCUCAUCAUAAGUAACUUUGUUAAUCUCUCAACAAACACAUAUUCCUGCAUGUCUUUAACAGAUUCUUCCUCUUCCACCAAACCCAUCAUUCGUUUUGUUAGCUGGCAGUAGUACUCAUCACCCUGCAAAUAGACUUGAAAGCAGCAUGGGUACUUUUUGAGCCAAUUGAGAGCCUUUCCUUGGAGAUCAAGGGUCUUGAACUUCUUCUGAAUGAAUCUCACUGUUGCUACUUGAUCAGGGCACCUCAGGAUGAUGUUUUUUAUUUGAUUAUUCACUAUCCAUCGGCGAUUCUUAGACAGCGCUGAUUCAAGAUAUGGAUCCUUCUUCAUUGACCACAGAGAAAAGUUCCGAACGAAGUAUUGAACAAGUCUUGGGUUCCGAAAGUGCAUUAUAACAACCAUUUUUCUCUUCUAUAUGUAACUUCAACAUCUAAGAAACAAACUAAAGAAAAAUGUAGAAAAAUUAAUACAUGUCCCAAACACACAAAGUGAUGUGAACAAUCUCAAGUAUACAUAUAAAUACCAAAACAAAGACCUCUAACAACCAUAUUAUUCCAUUUCUUUUUUCUUUUUUAAAAAAUGAAAAACGAAUGGAAGAAAAUAUUCAAAUUUUAAUUUUAUUACUCAACAAUUAUGGCAGGAGGGAACGGCGGUGCAAAAAAGAAGAAAUAAAGACAAUAUGAAAGCCAUAUGUAUCCACAACUUUUAAGGUUGAACUAUAACUGAUGCUCAGCAGAAGUAGCUGCCUAAUCAUCUACUCUUUUGUAAGAGAAAUCAAGCCCACUAGUUGAUGUAGGAGAAAUUCGAUUGAGACCCAACAGUUUGCCAUGUUAGGAGUCAUUCUGCUGGUUUUAAACUGCUGCAUUUAAUAGAUGUAGUAUUGGAAAUGGCAUUAUAUUCAUAGAGCUACAUACAACAGAAUAAGUACAUAUAGUGUAAGAUUUGUUUUCCAUAGCAAGUCCAAAUUUCAACAUAUUCAAGUGCAAUAGAUUUUGAUUGAGACUUCAUAGUCUAUGUAACACUUCCUCCAAAAUAAAUAAUAAUAAAAAAUUCCAGCAAAUAUAUGUUCCAUAAUUUUUCCCUGUUCUUAGCCUAUAAUAUCCAAAACCUACAACAAUGGUUAAGUGGGAAAUCUUGGAGUAAACCAAGAAAGUAAAGGUAGAGGUAGAGCCGAAUCUUGAUGUUGUCUGGGCUUCUUCCGACCCAUCAAGGUUUCGACUAAUUAUACAAUCUUUUGGAACAAUUGAAACGAAGCCCCUCCAAAAUCCUAAAUUUCAAAAUCAAUAAACACAAUCAAGAAAAAAAGAUACAGAAAUGUAUUUGUUUAUGUAUGUUUCAGAAGCUAAAGAAUUAGAUCUAAAUUUAUAAAAUCAGAAAGCAGUAACCGCAAGAAUCAUUUCAGAAAAGUGGGAAAGAAUCUGAUCAUAUUUAUAAGAAAAAACACACACAUAUAUCAUACACAUAUA
rnacentral:lncRNA from 1 species